rnacentral:lncRNA from 1 species
GUCUAUUUUUCUCGAGCUAUAAGCAAUAGGUCAACUAUAUUUGUUGUAUGGAAGAAUUUUUAGCUGUACAUGCCUGCCUGGCAUGGUUCCUCUGACCUUGACCUCAUUUUCAUGGUUCAUUGGUCAAUUUUUCUUGGUUAAUGUUAAGUUUAUGUGACAGUUGGAAUAUAGCUUUAUAUUUAGGACUAUCAACAUAAUCAUUAAUGUCAAUGAUUAGUUAAGAAGGCGAGACAUUUCAGCGUGUGCAAUCUUGUUAAGUAAAGGUGUUUUUGCUGUUGUAACGUCUUCAGUUCACUUGAUCAAUCACGACGAAAUAUAGGAUCAAAACAUCUCGUUUUUUCGUCAAAAUGUGCAGGCUUAACAAAAAUGGAGAAAAAAAUUGAAUAUUUUCCUCUUAGGUACUUUCUUUCGAUUAUAAGAAGCCUAGCUCUGUCCAAGUUUGGUAAAAAUUUAGGAUGGUUUAUGAAUCUAAAAAUAAAUGUUUUUAAUUUUUUUACUGCAGACUGAAUGAAUUGUUAACUUGAAGAAAAUGUAAACAGACC